AACGAACGCUGGCGGCAUGCCUAACACAUGCAAGUCGAACGAGACCUUCGGGUCUAGUGGCGCACGGGUGCGUAACGCGUGGGAACCUGCCCUUAGGUUCGGAAUAACUCCCCGAAAGGGGUGCUAAUACCGGAUAAUGUCUUCGGACCAAAGAUUUAUCGCCUUUGGAUGGGCCCGCGUUGGAUUAGCUAGUUGGUAGGGUAAAAGCCUACCAAGGCGACGAUCCAUAGCUGGUCUGAGAGGAUGAUCAGCCACACUGGGACUGAGACACGGCCCAGACUCCUACGGGAGGCAGGCGGGGGGGAUAUUGGAAAAUGGGCGAAAGCCUGAUCCAGCAAAGCCGCGGGAGUGAUGGAGGGCUUAGGGUUGUAAAGCUCUUUUACCCGGGAUGAUAAUGACAGUACCGGGAGAAUAAGCUCCGGCUAACUCCGUG
rnacentral:rRNA from 1 species